rnacentral:rRNA from 1 species
GACGAACGCUGGCGGCGUGCUUAACACAUGCAAGUCGAACGGAAAGGCCCUGCUUGCAGGGUUCUCGAGUGGCGAACGGGUGAGUAACUCGUGGGUGAUCUGCCUUGCACUUCGGGAUAAGCAUGGGAAACUGGGCGUAAUACCGGCCAGGAACUAUCUUUAGUGGGGUGGUUGGAAAGUGUUUUCGGUGUUGGGUGAGCUCGCGGCCUAUCAGCUUGCUGGUGCGGCGAUGGCCUACCGAGGCGGCGUCGGGUAGCCGCCCUGUGGAGGUGUACGGCCACCCUGGCUCCUAGAUGCGGCACCAGCACCUACGCGAGGCCGAAGUGGGGAAUCUUGACGGAUCAGCGCAAGCCUGAUGCUGAAACUCCGCGUGGGGUAUGAAUGCCUUAGGGUUGUAAAACACUUUCGCUAGGGACGAAGCUUAUUGUGACGGUACCUAAAUAGAAAGCCCCGGCUAACUACGUG